rnacentral:rRNA from 1 species
GACGAACCGUGCGAACGUUGUUCGGAAUCACUGGGCUUAAAGGGCGCGUAGGCGGACUGCCAAGUCCGGGGUGAAAUCCUCCGGCUUAACCGGAGAAUUGCCUGGGAUACUGGCGGUCUUGAGGGAGGUAGGGGCACGCGGAACUUCCGGUGGAGCGGUGAAAUGCGUUGAGAUCGGAAGGAACGCCCGUGGCGAAAGCGAGGUCCUGGACGUCUACUGACGCUGAGACGCGAAAGCUAGGGUAGCGAACGGG